rnacentral:rRNA from 1 species
GUCAGCUACCAAGGCUCACGGCCGGAAUACCUUGUCACACAAAGCGAUGAAAGGACGUGUUACCUGGCAUAAGUCUUCGGGGAGCUAGGAGACACGCUUGUAUUCCUCUGCGAGUU